CAGCCGCCGCGGGAAUACCGAGGGUGCGAGCGUUAAUUGGAUUUACUGGGCGUAAAGCGUGCGUAGGCGGCUUUUUAAGUCGGAUGUGAAAUCCCUGAGCUUAACUUAGGAAUUGCAUUCGAUACUGGGAAGCUAGAGUAUGGGAGAGGAUGGUAGAAUUCCAGGUGUAGCGGUGAAAUGCGUAGAGAUCUGGAGGAAUACCGAUGGCGAAGGCAGCCAUCUGGCCUAAUACUGACGCUGAGGUACGAAAGCAUGGGGAGCAAACAGGAUUAGAGACCCGAGUAGUCCCUGUCUCUUAUAU
rnacentral:rRNA from 1 species